AUUGAACGCUGGCGGCAGGCCUAACACAUGCAAGUCGAGCGGCAGCGGAAGGAAGCUUGCUUCCUUGCCGGCGAGCGGCGGACGGGUGAGUAAGGUAUGGGGAUCUGGCCGAAGGCGGGGGAUAACCACUGGAAACGGUGGCUAAUACCGCAUAACCUCUAAGGAGCAAAGUGGGGGACCGUUCAGGCCUCACACCUUCGGAUGAACCCAUAUGAGAUUAGCUAGUAGGUGGGGUAAUGGCUCACCUAGGCGACGAUCUCUAGCUGGUCUGAGAGGAUGAUCAGCCACACUGGGACUGAGACACGGCCCAGACUCCUACGGGAGGCAGCAGUGGGGAAUAUUGCACAAUGGGCGCAAGCCUGAUGCAGCCAUGCCGCGUGUAUGAAGAAGGCCUUCGGGUUGUAAAGUACUUUCAGUCGUGAGGAAGGUGUUAAGGUUAAUAACCUUGGCAAUUGACGUUAGCGACAGAAGAAGCACCGGCUAACUCCGUGCCAGCCGCCGCAGUAA
rnacentral:rRNA from 1 species